UAUGGUUUUAAAUUUAAUGAAGGAUGAGUAUAGUAGAUUUAAUUCAGAAAAUCUAAGUUACUGAAAAGUCACGUAAUUUUAUAGUUAUACAACAUUAUAUUUUUGUCAGAUUUUUCAAUAUUUUUGAAUUAUAGUGGUUAGUCUUAUUGGGGAUAGUAACAAUUUUAUUCUACUAUCCAAUACUAACAGGAUAUUAACGAUUAGGCCAAAAAAAUGCUAAUGGCUGACUGUACCUAUGGACGGAUCAAAUAUAAUAUAACGGAGGGAGAAGGAAGUGAUUUUGAAAAUGCAUAUAAAACACAUAUUUAUUAAUUAAAUAUGAAUUUGUGUUGUAGUCUUGGUUGGUCCUCUUAUAUUUUAUAUGACAUGCGACGUCUUGAUAAAGUUCAGAACCGUUUUCUGAAUUUUACUAGCUGACACCUAGGUACCCACGACCCACGACUAUAGUAAUGUCAAUGAUUUUCUCAUACUGAAAUCUUUAACCGAACGCCGUAAUAUUUCCAGUUAUCGUUUUAUUAAUUGACUUAUUAAAGAAGCUAUUGAUGCACUCGGUUUGUUAGAACGACUUGACAUUCGCGUUCCUGGUUGUACCAGAUCUAAGGAAUUAUUUUACCUACCACUAAGUCACAUAAAUUUUGCAAAAAAUUCUCCU